rnacentral:rRNA from 1 species
UACAGAGACUGCAAGCGUUAUUCGGAUUCACUGGGCGUAAAGGGCGCGUAGGCGGUCGGGGAAGUCCGUGGUGAAAGCUCGUGGCUCAACUGCGAGUCGGCCAUGGAUACUCCUGGACUUGAGCACUGUAGAGGCAGGUGGAAUUCCGGGUGUAGUGGUGAAAUGCGUAGAUAUCGGGAGGAACACCAGUGGCGAAGGCGACUUCCUGGCCUGUUCUUGACGCUGAGGCGCGAAAGCUAGGGGAGCAAACGGG